CUAAUACACAGAUUCAGAUCUACAGUUCCAUAAUCGGACAAUCAGCACAUUGAAAUAAAAUCAAUUCUAUCCGCAACUACAACCACAAAGUGAAUAAACACAAUCUCCAAUAAGUUAAUGAAGUGUACAGAUGUUAAGCAAACCUCAGAAAGCAGUAAAUGGAUCUGGAAGGAAGCAAAACGGGAACUUGGGAUGGGGCCAUGAAUGGCAUUGCGGUUAAAACUAGGAGACGAGAGAAAGAAAUGGCGAAGA
rnacentral:misc_RNA from 1 species